AGUGUGUCCUAACAGAUUCAGGAUCAUCACUGAUACCAGAGUUGAUGGUCAGAGGCUUGACCUUUUCAACUGAUGCUCCUGCAAACAGCAUAAUUGCUUCCUCUAGGGUUGGCAGGGAGUGUUCUGGUUCAGAUGGUUGAGGUGGAGAGUUGGGAGGGCUUAGGUUGAGAGUUUGAGGUUCAGCGGAAGUGUUUGGAGGGGUAAUGUCAUAGGUAU
rnacentral:lncRNA from 1 species